rnacentral:rRNA from 1 species
AGUGAACGCUGGCGGCAGGCCUAACACAUGCAAGUCGAGCGGCAGCGGGUUCCCGCGAGGGGAUGCCGGCGAGCGGCGGACGGGUGAGGAACACAUCGGAAUCUGCCUGGUUGUGGGGGAUAACGUAGGGAAACUUACGCUAAUACCGCAUGAGACCCUGAGUCGACGGACUGGGGGUGAAAGUGAGGGACCUUCGGGCCUCACGCGACCAGAUGAGCCGAUGUCGGANAGCUAGUUGGCGGGGUAACGGCCCGCCAAGGCGACGAUCCGUAGCUGGUCUGAGAGGAUGAUCAGCCACACUGGGACUGAGACACGGCCCAGACUCCUACGGAGGCAGCAGUGGGAAUCUUGGACAAUGGGCGCAAGCCUGAUCCAGCCAUGCCGCGUGGGU